rnacentral:rRNA from 1 species
GCAGUAGCCACGGUAAUACGUAGGGUGCAAGCGUUAUCCGGAAUUAUUGGGCGUAAAGAGCUCGUAGGCGGUCUGUCGCGUCUGCUGUGAAAACUGGAGGCUCAACCUCCAGCCUGCAGUGGGUACGGGCAGACUAGAGUGCGGUAGGGGAGAUUGGAAUUCCUGGUGUAGCGGUGGAAUGCGCAGAUAUCAGGAGGAACACCGAUGGCGAAGGCAGAUCUCUGGGCCGUAACUGACGCUGAGGAGCGAAAGCAUGGGGAGCGAACAGGAUUAGAUACCCCAGUAGUCUCUGUCUCUUAUAC